rnacentral:rRNA from 1 species
ACGCUGGCGGCGUGCCUAAUACAUGCGAGUCGAACGGUCUUUCUAUGGAAGCUUGCUUCCACUGAGAAGAUAGUGGCGAACGGGUGAGUAACACGUGGGUAACCUGCCCAUAAGAGGGGGAUAACAUCCGGAAACGGGUGCUAAUACCGCAUAGUUUCUUGAUCGCAUGAUCGGGAAAGGAAAGACGGCCUUUGUGCUGUCGCUUAUGGAUGGACCCGCGGCGUAUUAGUUAGUUGGUGAGGUAACGGCUCACCAAGACGAUGAUACGUAGCCGACCUGAGAGGGUGAUCGGCCACAUUGGGACUGAGACACGGCCCAAACUCCUACGGGAGGCAGCAGUAGGGAAUCUUCCGCAAUGGACGAAAGUCUGACGGAGCAACGCCGCGUGAGUGAAGAAAAGGUUUUCGGAUCGUAAAACUCUGUUGUCAGAGAAGAACAAGUUGGAGAGUAACUGCUCCAGCCUUGACGGUAUCUGACCAGAAAGCCACGGCUAACUACGUGCCAGCCGCCGC